AAACACAAUCUCCUCAGCUGCUUCAUUAAAAGUAAAACAAACUGCGAUGUGGUCCUGUUGCCCAAUACCUGAGAGUAACAUAUUGCGGGGCUAAUGAGUCACUGCCAACACAGCUCAUUACAAGGGACUAGAUAUGACAACAAUGAGCAUGACUGUCCCAGCCUCCCCUGCUGCCAUUAUCUGUAGGUUGCAGAGUUUACUUCAGCUGUUACUUGCUACACGUGUGAUCAACACCAUCACCAGGCUGUGUACUUUCUCUCUGCCAGCUCUCAGGACAGUAGCAGGUGAACGAGGGAGGAACAGCCAGCCUGACACUCGACAACGGGUUCGGUAAUUUUUGGAAGUAAGAGUGUCCUGUGUUAGAAGGGUGUGCACCUGUAACAAGUGUACACCUCUACCCGGUGUAGGUUGUACAUCAAAGUGAGUUUUACUGUGCGACACAACACUGGGUGGCUGUGAUCGGCAUUGCAAGUCAGCACUCGGAGCACCAAGCAAUGAAAUGACUCGAAUUCCUGCCUCGAUUCCGUUAUCGCCCUAGAUCAGACGAAAGAAGGAAAAAGAAAAAAAACAGUCGGGGGGAAAUCAGUGAGGCUAGUCAAGCAUGAGUGACGGCCAGCAAGCGUUACCUAGCAACCAAACCGGUAAUAAUUUCACAGAAAAGACGGACUCUGCGAGCAGCACAAUGGCCAGUGGUCUUGACCCGCCCUCGGCAGAUGACGUCAGGAACUCUAACGGCAUCUCAGAGAGACGUCUGUCUGUGGGCUCCUUCACCGCUGGCCUCUGGGAAUAUGUCACAAGGGAGAAAGCGAGUCCAGCGUUCCAACAACGCCAACAGGAUUACCUCCCCUGCCUGUCGUACCUCCGGUUGGGCCUGCCAGACAUCGGCCCCGGUCAUGCGUGGCGGGUCGAUCCAACUCCCUGGGGGGAUCACCUCCCAGACUCGGCAAAAUGGCAUGUCCGAGAUGCAGGUGCUGCCUCGCUCCCAGUCCGUGGCUGAUGUCUUCUCGGCCGCCAUGUCAACGGGACUUUGUACAACUGGACGUC